rnacentral:ncRNA from 2 species
AAUUGAAUAUGGUCUGCCGGUGCUUUGUAACAAAAGCUUAAAAGGGAAGCCUGUUAGAAUCAGGUGCGGUCCCGCCGCUGUAUACGGGGACGAAAACUGGAAUACGCCACUGUUUCAUUAAAAUGAAGCGGGAAGGCCCGGUGAGUAGGUUGAGCCGUAAGCCAGAAUAUCUGCCGGUAUAGAGUUUCGCGG